rnacentral:rRNA from 1 species
UCCCACCUGACCCCAUGCCGAACUCAGAAGUGAAACGUCGUAGCGCCGAUGGUAGUGUGGGGUCUCCCCAUGUGAGAGUAGGGAAUCGCCAGGC